GGACGGUGCAAAAAUUGGUAAGUUGCCUAGUAACAAGUCACAAACACUUGUUUGGUCAGCACUAGAUUAUAGGUUCGAGUCCUAUACCGUCCA
rnacentral:tRNA from 1 species